AAAUGCUAAAAGUGUAAAAUAUAUAAAUAAAUAAAGGAAGAGGGCAAGCCCUACUUCUCCUUCAAACACACCACAUAUAAGCUAGUCAGUGAUAGCAGCAGUAAUGGAAACUUCUCCUCAACGUCUGCUCUUUCUGACCUCCCUCCUGUGCUUGACACCAGCUCCAGUCCUCUCAGCUGGUCUGACUGUGAGUCCCAGGAGAUCUCAGUUUUUUGAAGGAGACUCUGUGUCUCUGAGCUGUGAGGAGGACAACAGCUCUGCUGGAUGGACUGUGAGGAGGAACACAACCAGAGGAACCAGGACUCAGUGUGGAGAUGACUGGGGAUUAUAUUUUGGUUCUUUGUGUAACAUCAGCUCGUUAAGCUCAAGCAGCAGUGGAGAGUACUGGUGUGAGUGGAGAGAGGGAGCAGCCAGCAGCAGCAGCAUCCAGCUCAC